UACGUAGGGGGCGAGCGUUGUCCGGAUUUAUUGGGCGUAAAGGGCGUGUAGGCGGUUCGGUAAGUCUGUCGUGAAAUCCUGAGGCUCAACCUUGGACGUGCGAUGGAUACUGCCGGGCUAGAGGAUGGUAGAGGCGAGUGGAAUUCCCGGUGUAGCGGUGAAAUGCGCAGAUAUCGGGAGGAACACCAGUAGCGAAGGCGGCUCGCUGGGCCAUUCCUGACGCUGAGACGCGAAAGCUAGGGGAGCAAACAGG
rnacentral:rRNA from 1 species